AACGAACGCUGGCGGCAUGCCUAACACAUGCAAGUCGAACGAGACCUUCGGGUCUAGUGGCGCACGGGUGCGUAACGCGUGGGAACCUUCCCUUAGGUUCGGAAUAACUCCCCGAAAGGGGUGCUAAUACCGGAUAAUGUCUUCGGACCAAAGAUUUAUCGCCUUUGGAUGGGCCCGCGUUGGAUUAGCUAGUUGGUAGGGUAAAAGCCUACCAAGGCGACGAUCCAUAGCUGGUCUGAGAGGAUGAUCAGCCACACUGGGACUGAGACACGGCCCAGACUCCUACGGGAGGCAGCAGUGGGGAAUAUUGGACAAUGGGCGAAAGCCUGAUCCAGCAAUGCCGCGUGAGUGAUGAAGGCCUUAGGGUUGUAAAGCUCUUUUAACCGGGAUGAUAAUGACAGUACCGGGAGAAUAAGCCCCGGCUAACUCCGUG
rnacentral:rRNA from 1 species